rnacentral:lncRNA from 1 species
GUUACAAUGCCAAAUAUUACAAAAUGUGCAUAUGAUGUGAUUAUUUUCCUCAGAACCAAAAACACAGAAAAAAAAAUACCUAUAUACUGUUUUGGAAAUUGUUCCUCUUCUCUCAGAGAAAAGAAGAUUUCAAUAUAAGUAUCUUUAAUAUUCUGUAGUUUAAAAAUAUACUGAUGGCACACUCUAAAGGAGUUCUGAAAAUGACAGGAGAAAUUGUAAUCAGGAAUACAGAAAUUCCGUGCUUCAGGUCCUCUACCUCUGUCUACCCUGAACAUGCCUGCUGUUCAGCCUGAAUGAUGCACCUACGCCGCUGAAAUUACCCUCUGCCGGCUGAGAGGAGGAGAAGGGAGGGGAAUGGCUUGAGUAUUGUGGUACUGAAACUAGGAACGUGAUUUCUAGCAUGCAGUCAUAACACUAUACUUCCCGAAAGUAAUCUGGGGGACUGUUUCUAGUAUUAAACUCUGAGCCUUUGUUUAUAUUCCAGUGACUCCACCAGGAACAUCUGUGCUCUGGGUAGAAGUGCUUUCAUUUAACAGUGCUUCACUCCCAUUGGUGAUUUGGGGGAAGAAAUGAAAUAAUUACAGCUCCGGGACGUAUACUGUAUUUGUAUAUUGUUUUAAGCUAAAGAAGAUGGUAGCAUUGGCUAUAUCAAAUUUUGUUGUUCUUGAUGUUCUUUGUAGGCAAAGAGGUCCCCUUGUUCUUACUGAGGGGAAAGUGGGGACGGAGGCCAUGUACUACCCUUGCCAUCCUUUAGCUGAUUUGUUUACUAAGUAAGCAGAUUGCCAAGGUGUUAGAGAACUAUGGAAACUAGUAGUUUCCACCUUUGGUGCUAAGAGUCUUUUUCUAAUAUUUCAAAUAAGGUACAAAAUCAGUUAUAGCGUUCUUUUACGUCACAAAUAUUUGGCCUAGAAAAAUGCCAUUAUAUAUUGUUAGAAGUUACUAAUAUAAAUAGACAUUAACUAGCCAAUAAAUUAAAGAAAGCUUGGUUUUUUUCUAAUCAACUUUUUUCUUAUGUGUCAGUUACAUGUAUCUGUUAUUUUAUGUAGUUAUAUAAAACAAUUCCAAGAAUAAAAUGUAGUUGUUUUUAGUUUUCUUGCUUGCACUUUAGAAGAUUAGAUACCUUGCUAUUUUUAAAAAACAAAUUCUUUCUAAGUUAGUUUGUUGUUUAAUGGAAUCCGAUAAAGAAGGCUUAUGUAAAGUAUUGAAUAAAGUAGAUAAGCUUGUUACAGUUUAGUUCUUUUUUGUAGAGGAAGAAAGACAAACUGUUUUCCAGUUGUUUAGCACUCAUUGUGUCAUAUUCU